GGUAUGAUUCUCGGCAAUGGAUAUCUCGGCUCUUGCAUCGAUGAAGAAUGUAGCGAAAUACGAUACCUGGUGUGAAUUGCAGAAUCUCGCGAACCAUCGAGUCUUUGAAUGCAAGUUGUGCCCGAGGCUGCCAGGCCGAGGGCAUGCCUGCCUAGGCAUCAUGC
rnacentral:rRNA from 1 species